AGCGCGCGCUUGAUAAGCGUGAGGUCGGAAGUUCAAGUCUUCCCAGGCCCACCACACUCAUCGAGUGAGCAUUCGUCUUCUGGUUACGGGGCCAUAGCUCAGCUGGGAGAGCGCGUGCUUUGCAAGCAUGAGGUCGUCGGUUCGAUCCCGUCUGGCUCCACCAGAUGGUUUGAUCAUCGACUGAUCGUGCACCUAAAUCGUCCGCGAAACAUCACUUCGCACCCACUAGUCCGGAUGGACAGUGACGUGCGUGAUUUCUGACAUCGUAAAGAGGAGAUCGAUCCGAGUUGGAUCGUGCAGCAAGCAAUUGCUACGCGGUACUCCAUUAUCUCCGGAUCAUUUCGGCGCUCGUGCGUCUUCCAAGGUAGCUCACAAGGCUGCGUUGAAAGACAAGCGAGUUGUAAAUGAUCCUUUUAGCGAAGCUUGACCGCCUCGCUAUCGGAACGAUCUUACGAAGCAAGCUGGUCUUUCUAAUCAUUGUCCGGCUGCAGAUAGCGUUCAUCGAGGGCGCGUAUCGCAAGGUAAUUCUGCAGACAACAUUCUGCCGAG
rnacentral:tRNA from 1 species